rnacentral:piRNA from 1 species
UCCUAGGCUUAGUUCUCCAAACUGGAGG